AAUUAAAAAUUUAUUAAUUAUAUAGUUUAGUUUAUUAUUUAAUAAAAAUAAUUUUAAUAAUAUUUUUUUAGUAUAUUUUAUAGAAAAAAUAAUUUUAAUAAUAGUUUAUUAGUAUUGUAAAAGAAUAUUGAAAUAAUUUGAAAAAUUAUUUGUUAAAAAGAAAUUUUUAUUUAAUGUACCUUUUGUAUCAGGGUUUAUUAAUUAAAUUUUAUUUAUAAAUAAAUUUCUCGAAUUUAAAAGAUUUAAUAAAUUAUUAAAGUUAAUGUGGAAUAAUUAUUUUUAAUGAUUUAUUAGUAAUGAAAUGUUAUUCGUUUUUAAAAAUAUCUAGUUUUUUAAGAAAUAAAUUUAAUUUAUAUAUAUAAAAUAUAAUGUUUUAAUUUUAAAAGAUAUUAUUUUUAUACAUAAAUAUAUUAAGGGAUAAGCUUUAAUUUAUAUUUUAUAAUAUUAAUAUUAAUAAUUUCUUGUAAGCUUAGAAAUAGUUAUCAAUAAUAAGUUUGUUUUAAUUUAUAAUUUUUUUUUAUAAUUUAUUAAUAUUUAAAUUUAGUAUUAAAAUAAUCAUUUAAAUAAAUUAAAUGGUGCAAUAAUGAUAAAAUUAGUAUAAGUAAUUUUUUAAAUAAAUUAAUUAAUAAAGAUUAAUUUAAGGAAUUCGGCAAAUAUAUUACUCACCUGUUUAACAAAAACAUGUCUUUUUGAAUAUAAUUUAAAGUCUAACCUGCCCACUGAAUUUUUUGAAGGGCCGCGGUAUUUUGACUGUGCAAAGGUAGCAUAAUCAUUAGUCUUUUAAUUGAAGGCUUGUAUGAAUGGUUGGAUGAGGUAAUAACUGUCUCAAAUUAAAAAAUAAUAAAAUUUUAUUUUUAAGUUAAAAAGCUUAAAUAUAAUUAGAGGACGAGAAGACCCUAUAGAUCUUUAUAUAUAAAUAAUUUUAAAUUAUUUAGUUUAAAUAUGUUUUUAUUUAUUGAUAUAUUUUAUUGGGGUGAUAAAAAAAUUUAAAAAACUUUUUUUU
rnacentral:rRNA from 1 species